rnacentral:rRNA from 1 species
AUUGAACGCUGGCGGCAGGCCUAACACAUGCAAGUCGAGCGGAUGAAGGGAGCUUGCUCCUGGAUUCAGCGGCGGACGGGUGAGUAAUGCCUAGGAAGCUGCCUGGUAGUGGGGGAUAACGUCCGUAAACGGGCGCUAAUACCGCAUACGUCCUGAUGUAGAAAGGGGGGGAUCUUCGGACCUCACGCUAUCAGAUGAGCCUAGGUCGGAUUAGCUAGUUGGUUGGGUAAAGGCCUACCAAGGCGACGAUCCGUAACUGGUCUGAGAGGAUGAUCAGUCACACUGGAACUGAGACACGGUCCAGACUCCUACGGGAGGCAGCAGUGGGGAAUAUUGGACAAUGGGCGAAAGCCUGAUCCAGCCAUGCCGCGUGUGUGAAGAAGGUCUUCGGAUUGUAAAGCACUUUAAGUUGGGAGGAAGGGCAGUAAGUUAAUCCCUUCCUGUUUUGACGUUACCAACAGAAUAAGCACCGGCUAACUUCGUG